GGAGUCGAAGCAUCCUUUCUCAGCCACUGCGACACUUCUUCCCUUCAAGCGACAAGCUGCUGCAACCCUUCUUCCCUUCAACCGGCCAAUUCUCGCAAUCGACGGGUCUCCACACUCCGGAACACAGGGGCAGAGGAGGUGUUCAUCGAGAUGAUAUGUCGUAGUAUCAGCCACACCAAUCUCCACCAAAUCAAGACCUACCUCGGCAGGUCGAACUACCCCAUGGUUCUAGGGCAAAAUACCCCACCGCUUCCCAUUAAUGCAUUUUCAUAUGCUUGAUUUCUGAGAUGUUUAAUGCACUGUUUAUGUGUGUGUGUUCUUAAUGGAUUUUUAAAGUCAAGAAGCUGUUCGUGAGGUCAUGGAGGUUGGUUCCGACUUGAUCAAGUUCAGAGUAGGAGAUUGUCGGAGUGGGUUGUGUUUUCGGAUGCUGUGGGCAUUGCUCUCCUUGCAAAUCAAACAUAGACCAACUCUGCCACAAGAUCUGGUCCUACAACGAUGUAUACCCAGAAGGAAACCAACCCAAGGAGGCAAUGCUCUCUCUUCGGUAGAACAGUUUCCACGCUCAGGCACAAGUUACCACCACACGUGCUGGUGUUACAUAAUGUUGGAAAGUCAAAAGUGAAAAAUGACCCAAGUAGCUGCCAUUUCUUUGUCUUGCAUUCUGAGGAAUUGUGUCACUCUCUCGGCAAUCUCCCAAGCAAAGCAAACCCACACUCAAAUCCUUGCCCGUGGCUUCCUUCCUAACGUCACUCUCCAAACCGAUCUCUUGCUGGCCUACUCCAAAUGCGGCAGCCUCAAAGAUGCGUUUUCCAUCUUUAAUGGGAUGAUUGAAAGAAAUAUGCAUUCAUGGAACAUUAUUAUAUAUUCACAUGUACAAAAUUCUCUCUUUAAUGAAGCUCUUGCCAUUUUUAAUGGGUUUCUGAAGGUGGGUCUUCGUCCAGACCACUUUACGCUCCCUUCCAUCUUUAAAGCUUGUACAGGACUUGGAGAUUCUCGUUUGGGGAAGAAUCUCCAUACGUGGGUAUUUAAACUUGGGUUAGGAGACCAUGUUGUUGUAGAGAGUUCAGUACUGGAUUUGUAUGCUAAAUGUGGGAACCUAAUGGAUGCCCAUCGGUUGUUCGUCAAAAUGUCUCGCAGGGACGUUGUUGUCUGGAAUACAAUGAUUUCAGGAUUUGGAAGGGCUGGAGAUCUGGCAGAAGUGUUUGGUUGUUUUAGGGAAAUGCAGCGUCAAAGAGUGAAGAUUGAUUUGAGAACAGUUGCGAGCAUCCUAAAUGCCUGUGGAAGAGGAGGAGACCUGAUGAAAGGGAAAGAGAUACACGGGCAUGUAUUUAAGAAUGCAGCUUUUAAUGGAGAUGUUGUCAUUGGGAAUUCUUUGAUUGAUAUGUAUGCAAAAUGUGGGUUCUUGUGCAGUUCAGAAAAAGUUUUUGUCAGCAUGCAAGAUUUGAAUUUGGUUACCUGGACUACAUUGAUAUCUUGCUAUGCGUUUCAUGGCAAAGGGAAACAAUCUUUGGAUAUUUUUGAGAAAAUGGAAGCUUGCGGAUUUAAACCUAACUCUGUAACAUUCACUGCGGUUCUGGCUAGUUGUAGUCACUCAGGGCUUGUCGAUCAUGGUUGGAGGAUUUUUGAAUCGAUGACAUCAAAUUAUGGGAUGAAACCCAUGGUAGAACAUUAUGCUUGUAUGGUGGACCUCUUAAGCCGUCUUGGGUAUCUAAAAGAAGCACUAGAAUUGAUCGAAAAGAUGCCAGAACAACAUGCACCAAGUGUUUGGGGUGCCCUUCUUGGUGCUUGCAGGAUACACAAGAAUCUGGAGAUAGGAGAGAUUGCUGCUCAUCGGCUUUUUGAUGUGGAGCCUAAAAAUCCUAGUAAUUACAUUGCAUUGUGUAGUAUCUAUGAUUCUGUUGGUCGAAUGGAUGGAGUUCUAAGGAUACGAUCAAGGAUGAGAGAACUAGGUUUAGUUAAAACACCUGGCUGUAGCUGGAUUACCAUUAAAAGUAAAGUUCAUAGAUUCUACCAAGGGGACAUAUCAGACACACGGGUAAAGAUGAUUUGUGAAACAUUAGACAAGAUGAUUCUGACAGUGAUGUUACCUGAUGGUUAUGGAUAGUUGCUCUGCUACUUGGGACGAGGAAAGCUUCAGUUGCAUGAUGCAUGAACAGAUGGAUUUGGAUAAGGGCAUUCGGGAAACACCCAUCUCCAUAUGUCUCAAACUAACAGUAAAUUCAAAGUCCCAUUUGAAGAGUUUCUAAUACCCAAGGGGCAAUUGAGGCUCCUUGGGUAUUGGAGGGGUGUUCAGAAGCUACAAUGGAAACUAUUGUUAUUUGUUCUACAUUUGUUUCAGACUUGAAAUCCUAUUUGAAGAAUUAUGUUUCAUUUGCUGUUCAUCCUGGUUUUAUGCUAAGUUGGAAGAACUGUUGGAGAAGAUCAAUCGGAUGGUAGUUUCCUUGAUGAUGACCAGAUUGAGGGAUGAUGCGUCCUCACUUGCGUUGCCUAUCCUGUAUCCACAAUCUGAUGUGGUUGUUGAGACCCACAUGUAGGAGGAGCUCACUGGUUGAUCAUCUCUACCUGUUGCAAUGAAAGUUGUCCUCUAGAGAGAGUCAAAUCUGUCACUUUGUUCUUUCUUUAUGUUUCUUUUGGGAGAUAGAACACUAGCUGGUUGCUUGGCCACUACACCAGCACCUGGGCCCAUGGGAAUGUGUGCAUAGGCAUUCAACCAGAGGGGCACUGGCGCCUUUUCAUGGCAUCCCAUGUCUGGGCGUAGACCGGAGGAGAUCCAGAGAGAAACCGGUCAUUUUGCUAUGCAAGGAGAGGGGAUUUUUUAUCUUGAUGCAAAUACAUUGAUAGAUCAACUCUCGGAGGAUCUAAAUGUCAAAAUGCCAGAGGUGAAAUGAAAAUCAAUUUCAAGUGAAGAUAACAGUGGAGUGAUCCAAAACUGAAAACCCUGGUAGCGAAAUAAACGGAGGGAAACACAAGUGCGGGCACUUCUCUUUCUCUCUUUUAUACGAACUAUAAGGUAACCUC